rnacentral:rRNA from 1 species
AGUCGUAACAAGGUUUCCGUAGGUGAACCUGCGGAAGGAUCAUUAGCAGUGAGGAUUGGUGUUGGGUUGGGUGUGUGGGUUGGGUGGUGAGUUGUUGGGUGAGAGCUGUGCGGCUCUUGCUCUGACAUCUGCCUUCACCCUACACACCCUCCUACACAUUUGCGCUUGUAUUGUUUGACAGAGCAAUAUCACUGAACAGAGACAACUUUUAACAAUGGAUCUCUUGGCUCUUGCAACGAUGAAGAACGCAGUCAAGUGCGAUAUUUAGUGCGAUUUGCAUGAAUCUGUGAGUCAUCGAGUCUUUGAACGCAACUUGCGCCCUCUGGGGCAUGUCUGUUUGAGCAUCACAACCAAUGCCAAUGCAGCAAUGCGACUUGCCUCACCUGUAGGGUGUGGUGGAAUGCAGAUUUACAGCGUGGAGGUGAGGAGCCUCUUGGAGCCAGAGACGCAGAGUCUGCGGUCUUGUCCAAGAAUCUCCAACACCAACACAAUCAACCACAACAAUCACCGAUCUCAAAUCAGGCAGGACUACCCGCUGAACUUAAGCAUAUCAGUAAGCGGAGGAAAAGAAACUAACAAGGAUUCCCCUAGUAAUGGCGAAUGAAGCGGGAACAGCUCAAAGUUUGAAUCUCGGCGGCCUCCGUCGCGAAUUGUAGUCUACAGAAGACGAUCCAGGCGCAGGCCGUGUCCAAGUUCCUUGGGAGAGGACGCCAGAGAGGGUGAGAGCCCCGUGCGACACUGGCCUGCGCUGGCAUGAGAGUCUUUCGACGAGUCGAGUUGUUUGGGAAUGCAGCUCAAAGCGGGUGGUAAAUCCCAUCUAAGGCUAAAUACUGGCAAGAGACCGAUAGCGAACAAGUACCGUGAGGGAAAGAUGAAAAGCACCUUGAAAAGGGAGUUAAACAGUGCGUGAAAUUGUUAAAAGGGAAGCGAUUGCGAUCAGUGUUGGUGUGCUGGCGAGGCAGUGCCUUUGUGCUGCGGAGCGGCGCAGCGAGUCAAUGCCGGUUGGCGGGGCUGGACACGCGCCAGGGGAAGGUGGGGUCGUUCCUCGGAGCGGCUCUUUAUAGACCAUGGCAGCUGCAGGCGCGCCGACCGGUGUAGCGGAGUGUAGUGUGUGGUUGGUGGUGGAUUGUGAGGCGGCAGACAACUUGUUGACUACCCCUUCGCAAUCCAACACCUAGACCACACACAGUGCACCCCGCUGUUGACAAAAUGGUCUCAAACGACC